UCAGUGGAAGCCCGGGUAUCGGCGGGCGGCCGCGAGAAGGCCUAGCGGCGCCUGGGGAACAAGGAGAAGGCGGGGGGCCGGAGGGGAAAACCAGCAGCAGGAGUUAAGGGCGAGAAGAGACCCGGAGGGGCAGGUGGCUGAAAUGCGGUCGUCCAGGUGCCCCGAGGAAUACUCUGGAGAAAGAGGGCCGCGCAUGCGCGUGGCGGAGCGCUGAAGCCCAUUGCCCACAGGGCGUCUACGGGCGCCGGGGCAGGCGGGACCGUCCCGCCCAGGGUGUGGGCCCGGGCUCUGGCCCGGCUCGGGCUGGUCCCGGUUGGGGCUGGGAGCCGCCGGGGGCGGGACAAGGGCGGGUUGCGAACUUUGAGCUACACUGCUCCUCUCUCCAGGCCAGUCCCGGGAGAAGGUGGCUCGCCGAGUCGGCGGCCAAUUACGUGGUGGACCUGCGGGUCUCAGCUGGCACGUCACUUCCGACAAAUUGAGUUUAAGCCUUUUAACAUUCAAGGAUUAGCUCAGUUUUCCCUGCCGUGGACUUCGGAUGCUGGUCACCUUGUCCUUGCUAGGCGAGCUUUACGGAAAUAAUCUACCUCCUCCGAUGGAGUGGAAGCCCCGAAAGAGCUGGUACUGUGACUCUGCUGCUCCCCUUUGUGUCCUCAGCUCCUCGCUCGGUGCCCGACCGCAGCGAGCGCGCCGUGAGCACCCAUUCUGGGUGCGAGCCAAUUCCGUCUUUUUCCAGUUUUGUGGCUUUGGCUUGAGUUUCUCCUCAAGAGCAGAUGGUGGUUGUGCGGGGACUCCGGACUCCUGCGUUAUAGCCUCCUUACUUUCCUCUCCUGUUGCUGGAAGCUUCGCAGCCCUGUGACUUUGGAGGACGAGAGCGAGAUGAUGAGGCUGGGGAAAAGUCGGCGGACAGAGUGUCUGACACACAGGAAGCCUUAGCUCAAAGAAGGAGAUCAAGGCUUGGAAUGAAUGAGUAAUUUGCCUGCGGUCACACAGCUGCUGUAUGGCAGAGCCAGAGGAGAAUCUAGAUCCUUAACCACUCAAGAACUAGAAAGAAGAAAACACUGCACGGGUGUCAGGAGACCCAAGGACUAACCUUGAGUUGGCAGCUCUUGUGUCAUCCUACCUAGGAAAUUGAAAAAGUCUCAACUCCCUAUAGAUACCUUUUAAGAUAAAUCGCUGAAGAGAACUGUUGGCUAUAAUGAAGGUAUGGAGAAUUUCCUUUUCCGGCUCAAGAGUAUCCCUCCUAUGAGGAGUUCAGACUAGGUGCUCUAUAAGGCCCUUUUGGAUUUUAUAUUGCAAGUCUUUCUACCUCACCUGAAUGCUCUCCAUUAAUGACUCCACUACCCUUUAUUCUUUCUUUCCCUCAUCUUCAUGUUGCGAUGGAACGUUUCCUCAGGAGCGACCACCUUCUGCUCUCCAUGGUCCUGAAAAGAUGUCUCUGGGUUUUCUGAAAGUUUCUGUUUCCCAAAUGCAAAUUUGAGUUUUGAUUGGUUCUUGAAGAAAAAGAAGAUGGCAGAUGAUCUGCUAAUGACUUACUGGAAAACACAGGAGAAUGAAAGGCACUACCCAGGUGGUAGAGUCAGAUCUUCUGUUAUUUUGCAUUUCUCCAUCUCUCCCUCUUUCUUUUGGCUGCCUCAGUGAGUCCAACUCUGCUUCUCUUGUUGCUGAGGUCUCAGACCUUAUGAUUUACUCUAGAGGUGCUGGCAGAACUGAGCUCAGAUUUAGGAUUAAGGAGAUUAGGACUGGAGAAGGAUUAGGUAGGUUCCAGAGGCUGAUGGGUUUAUCUGUCAGAGAGACUUCAGGAGCUCUGUAUCUCUCACACUCAGACCUUUGUCCACUCUGGGAGCAACACAGUGUUGUCACUGAUCAUGCCCUGAUUCACUUCAGUGAAUCCCUGAGGAACUAGAAUGUCCUCCCUCCCAUCCUAAGAAUUCCACUGCUUAGGAAGUGACCCAAAAGUUAUAGCCUCUAAAAUCCUCUCCCUGUUCCCAUAGAGCACUGCAGAAAGAUUCCAGGUGGAGAUCCUGACCCUUACGAUGUGAAACUACUGGGAUGAGAUUUUUUUUUCUUCCUUUUGUUUUUAAAGGGCAUUUUCUUUGCUGUUGAUAUCCAGUGCUUCACUGCUUUGUUAAUUAUGUUGUAAUUCCUCUCCUGUAUCCCUCCCAUUUAAUUAAUUGCCAGUUUCUGACAUUUCUAAACAUCUUAGCUGUCCCCUCCUUCCUUUUCCACUUUGACUGUCCUAUUUCAGGCCCUUCCUAUACUGUGGCAGCUGACUCCCUACUUUUAUCUGAGCAUUUGGUCUCACUCCCUUGCCUCACUCCCAGUCUUUCCUCUGUACUGCCUCCUCGGUGAUAUUUCUGACUCAGAACUCUGUAGUAUUCCCCUACUCAGUCAUCUUUGAUGAUGACUUUUAUCCUUCACUGAUUGGGUAAGACCUAAAUCUCUCUGGAAUGGCUUACAAGGCUCUUUAUGAUCUUGUCCAAUGGGCUGUCCUAACUUUAUAGGUGGGAGAUUUGUGAGGAAGAACAGACCACUUGUAGAGAAAUAGACACUGCAUCUUUGUGCACUUAGGUAUAUGGGGGAUUCCAUAUGUGGUCCCAUUCAAAUGUAAGGAGAGAAAGUUUAAAACAGCUUUCUACAGUCUUUGUUUUGGCUGGUGAAAGGAGCAAAGUGAUCCUUCUCGUUUGUCAAACUGAGCACUUUCUAGAGAAGCCAAGAUCUUUGCAAACUGCUCAUGGAAAUUACUCUCUCUCUUUGCAGUAGAGGUGGGCCAUGGACCACUGAGGACACUUAUUAAGCAUGUACUCCUCAAAUAUUGAAGGAAGAGUCCAUCAGUAGCAAACUUUUAUUGAGAGACUGUGUUAGGCAUUGUGCUAGGUCCCAUGGAUACCAGUGAACAAGACAGACAUAGUCCCUUCAGGAAUCUGAGGUCAUAGCUGGGAAAAGAGACAGCUAAUUCCAAAAUGUUUCUCCAGAGAUAUAGCCAGUUCCAAACUAACUGUAGUCUUGAUCAUAACUCCUUUAUUUUUUAUUUUUUUCGUAACUCCCUUAGAGUUAUUGUUUUCAUAGUCUUUUUUCUUUUAUCAGUCUUUAUAGUGCUUCCUCUUUUUUGCUUUCAAAUCAGAAUUUAACAAAGCUUUUAUUGGCCCGGCUGACCUAUGUAGCAACAAUCUUCCCUUUGCUGCAGUGAGAGAAGUGGUCUGCAUUUAUUUUACUUUCCUCAAUUCUCAUCUUUCCCCAUGGGGGCCCAGUGUGCAAUGGCUGCAAACAGCAGCCUCCUCGGUAGUGUAUGCAGCCUGUUGCCUGAAUGGGUUGCCCUAAGGGACCUUGGAGACAGCCCUUUCCAGUGGACAUUCAUGACUGGCAUGCUGUCCCCAGUCUAGGCUCCAGACAGGUAUGUGCGGUGUCUUUGGAAAGCCCCAGGGCACAGUGGCCAGGGUCCACAUUGGCCAAAUCAUAAUGUCCAUCCACACCAAGCUGCAGAACAAGGAGCAUGUGAUUGAGGCCCUCCGCAGGGCCAAGUUCAAGUUCCCUGGCCACCAGAAGAUCCACAUCUCCAAGAAGUGGGGAUUUACUGUUUAAUGGGGAUGAAUUUGAAAACAUGGUGGCAGAAAAGUGGCUCAUCCCGGAUGGCUGUGUGGUCAAAUGCAUCCCUAAUUGUGGCCCCUGGACAAAUGGUGGGCCCUGCACUCUUGAGAGCUUUGGUGCUGUCCCCUCCUUACUCAUGCCCACCAAUAAAUCCUACUUUCCUGUCAAAAAAAAAAUUCUCAUCUUUCUUUGACUU